rnacentral:rRNA from 1 species
GGAGUUUGGUCCGUGUCUCAGUACCAAUGUGGGGGACCUUCCUCUCAGAACCCCUACUGAUCGUCGCCUCGGUGGGCCGUUACCCCGCCGACAAGCUAAUCAGACGCAUCCCCAUCCCGCAGCGAUGAAUCUUUGCUCCUCGUUAGAUGCCUGCAAAGGAGAACAUAGGGCAUUAAUCCGACUUUCGCCGGGCUGUUCCCUACUGCGGGGAAGGUUGGAUACGCGUUACUCACCCGUGCGCCGGUCGUCAGCAAGAAAAGCAAGCUUCUCUCCUGCUACCCCUCGACUUGCAUGUGUUAAGCCUGUAGCUAGCGUUCAUC